rnacentral:rRNA from 1 species
CAAACUGAAGAUGGCGACCGGCGCACGGGUGAGUAACACGUAUCCAACCUGCCGAUAACUCCGGAAUAGCCUUUCGAAAGAAAGAUUAAUACCGGAUGGCAUACGAAUAUCGCAUGAUAUUUUUAUUUAAAGAAUUUCGGUUAUCGAUGGGGAUGCGUUCCAUUAGUUUGUUGGCGGGGUAACGGCCCACCAAGACUACGAUGGAUAGGGGUUCUGAGAGGAAGGUCCCCCACAUUGGAACUGAGACACGGUCCAAACUCCUACGGGAGGCGGCAUG